CCUCGGAUCAGGUAGGGAUACCCGCUGAACUUAAGCAUAUCAAUAAGCGGAGGAAAAGAAACCAACCGGGAUUGCCUCAGUAACGGCGAGUGAAGCGGCAAGAGCUCAAAUUUGAAAGCUGGCUCCUUCGGGGUCCGCAUUGUAAUUUGCAGAGGAUGCUUCGGGUGCAGCCCCCGUCUAAGUGCCCUGGAACGGGCCGUCAUAGAGGGUGAGAAUCCCGUAUGGGGCGGGGUGUCUGCGUCCGUGUGAAGCUCCUUCGACGAGUCGAGUUGUUUGGGAAUGCAGCUCUAAAUGGGUGGUAAAUUUCAUCUAAAGCUAAAUACUGGCCGGAGACCGAUAGCGCACAAGUAGAGUGAUCGAAAGAUGAAAAGCACUUUGAAAAGAGAGUUAAACAGCACGUGAAAUUGUUGAAAGGGAAGCGCUUGCAACCAGACUCGCUCGCGGGGUUCAGCCGGGCUUCGGCCCGGUGUACUUCCCCGUGGGCGGGCCAGCGUCGGUUUGGGCGGCCGGUCAAAGGCCUCCGGAAUGUAGCGCCCUUCGGGGCGCCUUAUAGCCGGGGGUGCAAUGCGGCCAGCCUGGACCGAGGAACGCGCUUCGGCACGGACGCUGGCAUAAUGGUUGUAAACGACC
rnacentral:rRNA from 1 species